rnacentral:rRNA from 1 species
UACAGAGGGGGCAAGCGUUGUUCGGAAUUACUGGGCGUAAAGGGCGCGUAGGCGGCCUGUUAAGUCGAACGUGAAAUCCCCGGGCUCAACCCGGGAACUGCGUCCGAUACUGGCAGGCUUGAAUCCGGGAGAGGGAUGUGGAAUUCCAGGUGUAGCGGUGAAAUGCGUAGAUAUUCGGAAGAACACCAGUGGCGAAGGCGACUCACUGGACACGUAUUGACGCUGAGGUGCGAAAGCGUGGGGAGCAAACAGG